rnacentral:tRNA from 1 species
GCGCCGGUCGUCUAACAGGCAAGACGGCGGUCUCCAAAACCGCUGAUGGGCGUUCGGGUCGCUCCCGGCGUG